AGCAGCCGCGGUAAUUCCAGCUCCAAUAGCGUAUAUUAAAGUUGUUGCAGUUAAAAAGCUCGUAGUUGAAUUUCGGGAUCAAUCUAUCGGUCGUGCAAUAGUACGUACUGAUUUUAUUGAUUCCUCCCUUCUGAUGAACUAUGAUGUCAUUAAUUUGGUGUCAUAGGGAAUCAGGACUGUUACUUUGAAAAAAUUAGAGUGUUUAAAGCAGGCUCACGCUUGAAUACAUUAGCAUGGAAUAACGAAAUAGGACGUUUGAUUCUAUUUUGUUGGUUUCUAGGAUCGACGUAAUGAUUAAUAGGGAUAGUUGGGGGCAUUAGUAUUCAAUUGUCAGAGGUGAAAUUCUUGGAUUUAUUGAAGACUAACUACUGCGAAAGCAUUUGCCAAGGAUGUUUUCAUUAAUCAAGAACGAAAGUUAGGGGAUCGAAGACGAUCAGAUACCGUCGUAGUCUUAACCAUAACUAUGCCGACUAGGGAUCGGAUGAUGUUAAUUUUUUAAUGACUCU
rnacentral:rRNA from 1 species